UGAACAAAUUAUUGUAUUCGAUUGUAUUCACGGCGCGAAAGAGGGGAUUACACUGUUUUUAAACUGAAAAUGAAUCAAUUAACAUAAUAGACUCCU
rnacentral:pre_miRNA from 1 species